rnacentral:lncRNA from 1 species
CUCAAGUCUAAUGACUGUUUUGAAAAGAUCUAGGCAAAGGGUCAUGACAACAAUUCAGCUAUUUAGCACAACUCUCUGUAAACAGAUCACCAGAGAAAGGCUUAAAGUGAGGUAAUAAUUCCGGCUCAUUGUCAGAGAAUAAACACCAGGCAUCUAUAGACAUGUUUAAUUAAUUCCUGCACUCUCUUCAAAUACAAAUUAAUACAAAAAAAGGCAAAUAAAGUGGAGAAUAAAAGAUGGCAAGGGAGACAUCGACAUGAGUAACAACAAUGCAAGCCAAGCUGUGCUCUGUUAGAGGUGUAAACAAACUACCCCCUCAGCACCAAGGAGGAGCAAUUUAAACCAGAUGGGAGGACAAGCUUCACAGAAAAGGGAAGUGACUCCUAAGUUGUUCUGGGAAGAUGAGUACUGUUUUGAUUAAUAAAGGAGAGGAGGAAGGCAUUCUAGUUAGAGGAACAGAAGACUGAAAAGCACUACCUCAACAGUCCUGGAUCCUGCCUCAUGUUUAUUCGUGCAAAGAGCACAGGAGGAUACCAGCCCCAUGCAACCAGAAGCCCAAGGAGGAGGAGGGUGUCACACCAGAACUUGUAUCCUCACAUUGGCAGGCAGAAGCCUCUACAUUAGAGCCUUCAUGGGGGCUUGGGAGCACCUUUGGGAGCCUGAGCCACAGGCAUAGCCUGGGCCUUGGUUUGAGCCUUGGCCUUUGGCCUGCAGAGACUGAGACCCUUGGCAAUAUGGCACCAGCCUGUUUCCUGAGCUUGGGGUGAGCAAUGCAGGCAAGUUGACUGAGCUUGCAGCUGCCACCAUUUAGGAUCUUGGGUUUGAUCUCCUUGGGCUUUACUAGGGCCUUGA